GAUGAAGAACGCAGCGAAAUGCGAUAAGUAAUGUGAAUUGCAGAAUUCAGUGAAUCAUCGAAUCUUUGAACGCACAUUGCGCCCGCCAGCAUUCUGGCGGACAUGCCUGUUCGAGCGUCAUUUCAACCCUCGACUUCCCUUUGGGGAAAUCGGCGUUGGGGACCGGCUGUAUACCGCCGGCCCCGAAAUGAAGUGGCGGCCCGUCCGCGGCGACCUCUGCGUAGUAAUCCAACUCGCACCGGAACCCCGACGUGGCCACGCCGUAAAACCCCCGACUUCUGAACGUUGACCUCGGAUCAGGUAGGAAUACCCGCUGAACUUAAGCAUAUCAAUAAGCGGAGGA
rnacentral:misc_RNA from 1 species